AAACCUUAAUGAUUUGGCUGUGAGUGUUAUAUAAAGGAGCCUGUAAUUUAAUCGAUAUUACACGAUCUAUUUUACUUAUAUUUAUCUUGUAUAUCUCUGUUCAGAUAUUAUUUUUAGUUUUUGUAAUUAUCUUAAUAAUUAUAGUUAAAAUGUCAGGUCAAGGUGCAGUGUAUAUAAGAUAUUAUGUGCUACAUUGAUUAAUUAAUUAAGUGGAUUUAAGAUGAAAAUUUUAAUGAAAUUGGAUUUAUAAGUAAAAUAAAGUAUGAUAUUUAUUUGAAAUGCAAAUGCUCAUGUACACAU
rnacentral:rRNA from 1 species